UACGUAGGGCGCAAGCGUUAUCCGGAAUUAUUGGGCGUAAAGAGCUCGUAGGCGGUUCGUCACGUCGGCUGUGAAAACCUGAGGCUCAACCUCAGGCCUGCAGUCGAUACGGGCGGACUUGAGUACUGCAGGGGAGACUGGAAUUCCUGGUGUAGCGGUGAAAUGCGCAGACUAUCAGGAGGAACACCGGUGGCGAAGGCGGGUCUCUGG
rnacentral:rRNA from 1 species